rnacentral:lncRNA from 1 species
UUUAUUUCGUCAGCAACAGUAAUUGUGAACAAGGCAGUAAUGAAUAUAAAUAUUAAGUGAUAUUAUUUUUUUCUUGAUUUGUAAAUCUAGACAAUCAACUAUAGCAUUUUACUUUGCUCAAGUACAAGAACUUUUUACUUUGGUUAAAAAGUAGGAGUCAUAAGUUUGGGGUGUUCAUUUAUCACGUAUGAGAUGCAAUUGAUGUGCAUCUUAAUGCAUAUAUAGAAGUUUUAAAUUUUAAUUUCAUAUUUUUGUUAAGAACUUGGGAUAUUUUUAUAACAGAGUUAUUCUUCUUUGAUGCAGUUAUUAAUAUUCUAUUUGAUAAAGAAAUCAACAACAUGAAGACAUAUUUAGGUGGUACCUUACACUACAGGGAGAUAACUCUGUAAAAUCAGCAGAACGUUUUAAUGGCGUUGUGUUCUUAAGGGAAUAUUAAGCUUCUAAAUGAUCAAAAUGAGUGUUUGUCAAACUGCUAUAUAACCAGUGUAUUUUUUCUGAUUAAAGGAUUGGUUCAAUUUUUUUGAUUUUUUUUAUAUUUUUGUCAAAGGGUCAAAGUAAAUACUCUGUCAAAAUUUUAAG